rnacentral:rRNA from 1 species
AAUAUUGGGCAAUGGGGGCAACCCUGACCCAGCAACGCCGCGUGAAGGAAGAAGGUCUUCGGAUUGUAAACUUCUGUCCUUGGGGACGAAACAAAUGACGGUACCCGAGGAGGAAGCCCCGGCUAACUACGUGCCAGCAGCCGCGGUAAUACGUAGGGGGCAAGCGUUGUCCGGAAUUACUGGGCGUAAAGGGAGCGCAGGCGGUCUGUUAAGUGAGAUGUGAAAUACCCGGGCUCAACCCGGGAACUGCAUUCCAAACUGGGUAUCUAGAGUGCAGGAGAGGAAAGCGGAAUUCCUAGUGUAGCGGUGAAAUGCGUAGAUAUUAGGAGGAACACCAGUGGCGAAGGCGGCUAUCUGGACAGUAACUGACGCUGAGGCGCGAAAGCGUGGGGAGCAAACAGG